ensembl:snoRNA small nucleolar RNA SNORD113/SNORD114 family
UGGAUAAAUGAUGGCCACUUCUUACAUAUGAGUCAUGGAUCGUGACUACAAGUCUGGGAGUCUGAGGUUCAC